rnacentral:rRNA from 1 species
CCUACGGGUGGCAGCAGUGAGGAAUAUUGCACAAUGGACGCAAGUCUGAACCAGCCAUGCCGCGUGCAUGAAGACGGCUCUAUGAGUUGUAAACUGCUUUUGUACGAGGGUAAACGCAGAUACGCGUAUCUGUCUGACAGUCUCGCACGAAUAAGGAUCGGCUAACUCCGGGCCAGCAGCAGCGGUAAUCCGGAGGAUUCAAGCGUUAUCCGGAUUUAUUGGGUUUAAAGGGUGCGUAGGCGGUCGGAUAAGUUAGAGGUGAAAUCCCGAGGCUAAACUUCGGAAUUGCCUAUGAGACUGUUCAGCUAGAGAGUAGUUGCGGUAGGCGGAAUGUAUGGUGUAGCGGUGAAAUGCUCAGAGAUCAUACAGAACACCAAUUGCGAAGGCAGCUUACCAAGCUACUUCUGACGUUGAGGCACGAAAGCGUGGGGAGCAAACAGGAUUAGAUACCCCGGUAGUC